rnacentral:rRNA from 1 species
UAAGGAAUAUUGGUCAAUGGAGGAAACUCUGAACCAGCCAUGCCGCGUGGAGGAUGAAGGUCCUCUGGAUUGUAAACUUCUUUUAUAUGGGACGAAAAAGGGACUUUCUAGUUCAACUGACGGUACCAUAUGAAUAAGCACCGGCUAACUCCGUGCCAGCAGCCGCGGUAAUACGGAGGGUGCAAGCGUUAUCCGGAUUCACUGGGUUUAAAGGGAGCGUAGGUGGGUUGGUAAGUCAGAGGUGAAAUCUCCGAGCUUAACUCGGAAACUGCCUUUGAUACUAUCAGUCUUGAAUAUUGUGGAGGUUAGCGGAAUAUGUCAUGUAGCGGUGAAAUGCUUAGAUAUGACAUAGAACACCAAUUGCGAAGGCAGCUGGCUACACAUAUAUUGACACUGAGGCACGAAAGCGUGGGGAUCAAACA